UACGGAAGGCAGCAGUGGGGAAUAUUGCACAAUGGGCGAAAGCCUGAUGCAGCUAUGCCGCGUGUAUGAAGAAGGCCUUAGGGUUGUAAAGUACUUUCAUCGGGGAGGAAAAACAAAACUAAUAAUUUUAUUUCUUGACGUUACCCGAAAAAGAAGCACCGGCUAACUCCGUGCCAGCAGCCGCGGUAAUACGGAGGGUGCUAGCGUUAAUCAGAAUUACUGGGCGUAAAGAGCACGUAGGUGGUUUUUUUAAGUCAGAUGUGAAAUCCCUGGGCUUAACCUGGAACUGCAUUUUGAAACUGAAAUACUAGAGUAUCGUAGAGGGAGGUAGAAUUCUAGGUGUAGCGAUGAAAUGCGUAGAUAUCUGGAGGAAUACCUGUGGCGAAAGCGGCCUCCUAAACGAAUACUGACACUGAGGUGCGAAAGCGUGGGGAGCAAACAGGGAUUAGAUACC
rnacentral:rRNA from 1 species